UGGCGCACUCAAAGACCAGCACUCCAAGAAACCAUCUGUAUUUUAACAUCUCACUGCACAGCCACAUUCCUCAUGUUUAAUUUAUGUUGGCAAUCUUUUGUGGCAAGACCAACUUAAUUUUUAAAUGAAAUCAUUUCAUUUUAGUGAGAAAGCUGAGACCCACAGAGGUCAAGUGCCCUGCCCAGGUCAUCAGAGGGUGGCAGAAUUCAGUCAUGAACGUUCAUUUCCCUGUUCCCAGGUGCCAGUUGAUGAUGCUGGCAGAUUCUUUUACUUAAGCUGAAGAACUCUUCAU